AGAGAGCUCUGGUUAGUCCCAUGAGGAUGUUUCCUGGCUUGAACUGGUUGGCUUGGAGGCAGUUGUGGCUGGGAGUGGAGAGAGGCCUUCUACAGGAGAUUAGACAGUGUCUCUGUAGUGAAGGACUUCUCCAUAUGUCCCCAAGGUGGAUCCCAAUGAAAAGAGACAGUCCAUGGCUCUGAAUCCUUUAUUGCCAUGGAGGAAGGUGGAUGUGUAAAACCAUACUACACUGGGCCUGAGAUUAAAUACCUUUUACAGAGAGGAGGUCUGGGACGGAAAGUUUAUUGGCUAAGCCCUCCAUGCCUCCAUUUACUUCACUAGCAUGGAGAUCUAUCCUGAGCCUACAGACCACAGGUCAUGUCCUUUUCUACAUGGGGUCUUGCUAAAUUGCCCUUACAUGUCUAUUGGCCAUAAAUCUAUGGGGGAGGGAUUGUGGUUUGUGACAGGGACCUGGUGCCUGGGAGCAGGCGAAGCUACUACUGUCCCUGCAUGGUCUCCGGGGAUUCUAGCCUUAGUUCAACUGAGGACCAUGCUACUUCUCACAGUCCACUGCCCAACAUAGCUCAAAUGAAGCCUUUCCUUCCUUAAGUUACUUUGGACCUUGGGUUUCAUUACAUCAACAGAGAAAUUAAACUAGAGCCCUUUUGAAAAUGGCAACUCCGAGGUGAAAAUGUGCUAGCAUACUGCUCUCAACUUGCACUUCCUCUCAGACUCCUGUUUGUGGGCUCCACCCCAAUUUGAGAAAAGGAAACUAGAACCUAGAAACUUACAGAGGCACUUCAAGAAGUGCAGGUACCCAGCCAUGGCCCAAGAGGAACCUGGGGGCUCCAACUCAGUCCUGAAUGGUGACGCUAAUAGUGACAAAAAGAUGGAGAAGUGGACAUGUGCCCUCUGCCCUGAAGGCCACGACUGGAGUGUGAUUUACUUCGAACCAUAAUCGAAUAUAGCAGCUCAUGAAAACUGUCUGCUGUAUUCAUCAGGACUGGUGGAGUGUGGUCCUCAUGAUCCACGUAAUCCAGC
rnacentral:sRNA from 1 species